AGUGAGGAGUCUUGUAUUUUACAAAUAAAUUUGGAAAAAGAGAGGAGUUGAAAAUAAUGAUGAAUGAACAAGUGAAAGAAAAGCACAUAAGAUGUCCUAGGCCUUGUCAGUCAAGGAAUAUGAGCCGCAACAACUUAGGGAGGUGAGAAGAGCUUCUAUUACCACUACAGCUUUGGCCUCUUUCAAACCCCAUCUUCUGUCAACUGUGGUUCAGGAAAGGAUAUGACACUGAGAAACCUCGGUACUUUCUGGAGCGUCCUCAGAGGACAUCAAGUUUUAGCUUUACAUGUGACCUUGCCUCUUCUCAUAGAAAGCUUAAUAUCUGCAAUAAAGCAGAAUUUGUGUCUGAAUGCUUACCCAGACUCUGCUCCAGACUCCAUGACUCAGGUCAACCGCCAACCCAAAACGGGCAGCUGACCAAGGCCCAGCAUUUCCUCCCGAAACCAUCUGUAUGAGAAGAAACCACAGUUGAGCAACUCAGGACUUAAAGGGCACUAUUGCAUUACGUUCACCAACUUGCUGAAUGAAAAGAAUGAUUGGAACAUUUUAAUGCAUCUUAAAUUUGUAAUAAUAAGUACUGUUCAAGUUUCCUUUUCUAUCCAGGGGAGAGGUGGUAUCUGCUGGUCUUAAUAUAGAUUCUGCUAUUUCACACAGGGUAUAUAAUGUCUUAGUGAAGAGAAAGGGGAGCUCAGGUUAUAGAACAGAGUUCAGUUUUUGAUGUGGUGGGUUUAAGGUCCCUGAGGGGCAUGCUGGUGGCAACAUCCAAUGGGUUAUCAGCUGUACAUCAAUGCCCAAGAUUCAGAUUUGUGCACCAUCGUCAUUUGAGUAGUUACUGAAACCUUAAGUUGUGAGAGAUAAUCUGAGAAAAAUUUGUAAAUAGAGAAAUAAACCCAGGGCAGAACCCUGGGAACAGUUCUAUUUAUGGGGUUGACGAGGGAAAAUGAAUUAUUGAGGAAGAUGGAGAAAGAGCAUCCAAGGAGAUGGAAGAGAAUGAGAGGUGUCUGUCUUGGUAGCCCUAGGAGAAGAGAAUUUCAAGGAUGAGGAAGUGGUCAAUAUAGAGAAGAGGACGAAUAAGAUAAGGACUGAAGUGUCCCUGUAGUUUAGCAACAUGAAACUCUCUGGUGACAUUGGAAAGAGCAGCUUCAGUGGCAUAGAAGAGAGAAUCCAGAUGUCAGGGGAUUGAAACUGGAGACCCUGGCACCAGUCCACAUUGUUGUUAUCUGUUUUCCCUUCUUCCUGUCUUUUUUUUUUUAAUUAAGUCUUUAUUGUUCAGAUUA